rnacentral:rRNA from 1 species
GGCGGCGUGCUUAACACAUGCAAGUCGAACGAUGAAGCCCUUCGGGGUGGAUUAGUGGCGAACGGGUGAGUAACACGUGGGCAAUCUGCCCUUCACUCUGGGACAAGCCCUGGAAACGGGGUCUAAUACCGGAUAUCACUCCUGCAGGCAUCUGCGGGGGUCGAAAGCUCCGGCGGUGAAGGAUGAGCCCGCGGCCUAUCAGCUUGUUGGUGAGGUAAUGGCUCACCAAGGCGACGACGGGUAGCCGGCCUGAGAGGGCGACCGGCCACACUGGGACUGAGACACGGCCCAGACUCCUACGGGAGGCAGCAGUGGGGAAUAUUGCACAAUGGGCGAAAGCCUGAUGCAGCGACGCCGCGUGAGGGAUGACGGCCUUCGGGUUGUAAACCUCUUUCAGCAGGGAAGAAGCGAGAGUGACGGUACCUGCAGAAGAAGCGCCGGCUAACUACGUGCCAGCAGCCGCGGUAAUACGUAGGGCGCAAGCGUUGUCCGGAAUUAUUGGGCGUAAAGAGCUCGUAGGCGGCUUGUCGCGUCGGAUGUGAAAGCCCGGGGCUUAACCCCGGGUCUGCAUUCGAUACGGGCAGGCUAGAGUUCGGUAGGGGAGAUCGGAAUUCCUGGUGUAGCGGUGAAAUGCGCAGAUAUCAGGAGGAACACCGGUGGCGAAGGCGGAUCUCUGGGCCGAUACUGACGCUGAGGAGCGAAAGCGUGGGGAGCGAACAGGAUUAGAUACCCUGGUAGUCCACGCCGUAAACGGUGGGAACUAGGUGUUGGCGACAUUCCACGUCGUCGGUGCCGCAGCUAACGCAUUAAGUUCCCCGCCUGGGGAGUACGGCCGC